GUCCCGCAACGAGCGCAACCCUUAUGUUUUAGUUGCUACGCAAGAGCACUNUAGACAGACUGCCGUUGACAAAACGGAGGAAGGCGGGGGAUGACGUCAAAUCAUCAUGCCCCUUAUGAACCUGGGCUACACACGUACUACAAUGGCCGUUAACAAAGGGCAGCGACACCGCGAGGUGAAGCGAAUCUCAAAAAACGGUCCCAGUUCAGAUUGCAGGCUGCAACCCGCCUGCAUGAAGAUGGAAUUGCUUAGUAAUCGCGGAUCAGAAUGCCGCGGUGAAUACGUUCCCGGGCCUUGUACACUCCGCCCGU
rnacentral:rRNA from 1 species